GUUGAAUGGUAAAAGAUAGAGAAUUUCAGCUGCUUCAUUGAACAAUCUUCAUGUAAAAUGACUGGCAGAGUAUAUUUAGAAGAGAUCAGAAAAUGUUCUUCAGCUGAAUGACUUCAGUGCUACAGAAGCUGUAUACAGCAAAGCAGAAGAAAAGGAGUCAGGGAGGAGAAAAGAACAGUAACAAGGAGAAACUCAUCAUUUUUGCUUCUACCUCUGAAUGGGGGCUGGUGUCUCUCUAGGAAUCAAGGUGCUCAAGGUCCCUUGAGGCAAAAGAGAAUAAAUUGCCAGUAGCAGACAAGGAGAAUGCAAUUGUAUAUAAGAUGCCACUUUAACAGGUACUGCCUCUGGGGGAAAAAAUACUCUGAAGACUUAUGAUAACCCAGAAUCCUUAUUUCAUAACACUUUUGAUUUAACAUAUUCAGGAAUUUGAGCUUGGACUUGGGAAAAUUACAACAAACUGCACUCAUGGUCAUUUCUUCAGACUGGAAGAAACUUGUAGUGAAUAAAUCCAUCCUCUAAGGAUUCGGUCCCCUUUUGCAGGAAUAACAGAAACACUUAAGAUGGUGACACGUGUCUCUGUGUUAGAAUGCUUAAUUUGAUUUUUUAAUUUGCUUAUGCCACUAUUCAGUCUAUUUAUUAUUCCAGUCUCUAUUUCCUACUCUUGAGAGAGUAACUCUGCUUUCCUGGCAUGUUAGAAUGAAGUGAGGUACUGGGAACAUACCAUAGAUGAAAGAAAAAAGAAGGAAUUAUGUAUAAUGUUUCAAAGAUUAUGUUUCUUAAAGAAUAUUUCUUAGCUAUAAAAUUAUCAUACCUAUGUGUAAUCUGUACCACCUAUAUUAUAGCAUUAGAGACUGAUCAGUGAAGUUUUCUGGUUAAAAUGACAAGUUAAGAUAUGAAACAGCAUUUUCCACCAUUUUCCCUUCUGUUACUUCUUGGAAAAAUCUUUAUUGCAUAUUUUAAAUAGUUUGUUGUGUUUCAUAGUUUAUCCUUAUGUUAAUUCAAACACAGUAUUUCUCUCUAUGCUGUUACAAUGCCUGGAACAGCAUAUAUUUUAGAUGGUUGAAAUUAAUUUCAGUGUAAGACUUUCAUGAGUAAGCCAAGGGGAAAAUGAAACAAACAAAAAAAUCAUUUAAAGUAGAAUGCAGGAAGAAUGGAGGAAAUCAUAAAGAUUUAUAAAGGAUAAAUAUUCACAAAAAAAAAAUAUUGAAAGUUAAUCAGCUGGAAACAAUGUUUUCUAAUUAAAAAAAAAUAAACAAUGUAAAUUAUCCCAAACUGUUUUGUCUAUGAAACAUAUUUUGCAUUUGUACUUUUCUUCCUUUCCCUGCCUUUUAUAUCAGAAGGUGUUCUGUGAAUAAAGUCAGGGUACACCUCUCAGCUGCUUUAAAAGGGGGAGAAUUUCUCACACAAUUCAGAAAAUGUUUCAAGAAAGGUGUUGAUCUAAAUAUUAAACAAUCACAUUUUCACCCUUCAUUUAUAGUAAAAUUCUUGCAAUCUCAGAAAAAUUUGAUCAAUCACAUAACAUCCUGAGUCAGUUAAAGGUGUUAACUAGACACAGUUUGGAUUGGCCCCUCACUUGGAGGUUUUGGCACCACCACUCAGCUGGAAGAAUGUUUAUAAACCUGCUGCCAUGCAAAGUUACCCAAGCUACUUCAGAACACUUUAGUGUCUGUUCAGACUAACUCCAUUCCCCUUGAAAUUUCAUAAAAGAGUAACAGGUUAUUAAUAUGGUAUUGUAAGACAAUAUUUUAAAAUAUCACAGCUGUUUUUACCACCUGCAUCAUCAAAUUUGUUCAUCUACAAAAUAUAGUGAAAAUUUCAAAACAGAAAUUUCAAAGCAGACGAAAAACCAGUAUUUCUAUUUAAAUAAUUCAGUGCAGCACUCUGUAAAAUGCAGUCUUCUCAGCUUAUACUUCAGGCUUAUUUCACAAGGUCUUCCUUAAAAAAAUGCAAUCCUUAUCUCUAGGAUGUUUCAUGCACA